rnacentral:lncRNA from 1 species
CGAAAAAGAAAAAAAACUGAAAGUGACGGAGAAAGAAAUAAGCUUAUUGUUGGAGUUUGGACAGAGCCAUGAACAAGAACCAAGAUUUUACAUGAUGAGCUCCUCUCUCUUUCAGACUUUCUCUCUCUGAUCCUUAAACAAGGCCCACUCUAGCUCCAGCCAAUGCAUCCAUCAUGAAGAACCAGACCCAUCUACUUUAC